UCUACCCAUAUAGUCAUUGACACUUUUAAUCUGUCCACUAAUAAUGCACUUUUUUAUUUUAUUUUUUUAAUUGGACUUUGCUUUUAUCUGUUUAUACUGCUUUUCUUUUGCUAUGUUUUGCCUUGUAAUUUUUUUUCUUCUAUUUUGACACGUCCUGCAACAUUGUACUUAACAAACAUAACAUACAAAGCUCAAAGAUCACCAUUAUUUAUAUUUUACUUAAUUUGUAAUUUUGAAAUAUACUUAAUCUACUUGUACAUUAUUUAGAUAA
rnacentral:lncRNA from 1 species